UUAUUUGCCUCUCGUUUGACAACCGCCACAAAACCAACCCCUGAAACCCGGUGGUUGCUUACCCCUUCUCACUCUCCCCCUCUCUUCUCCUCCUACGCAUUAAUUUCUCCCCUUUUUCCUCCUAACUUCUUCUUGUUGCGGAUUGUGUUUCUAGAUUUUCUUGCUCCGAAAAUAAAAUAUGUAAUGAUAUAGACCUGGAAGCAAUACCAGGGUCGUCUUCUUCGUCGUCGUGGUCGUAGUCGUGUGUCGUCCUUGGAUUUAGAUGCGGAGAUUCCUGGAAUUCUUAGGCUUUCUUCAUCGUUAAUCUGAUUAGAGUUCCAGAUUCCUCGUUUUCCCUGCAAUUUUUUUCUAUUUUGAGUAAGAAUUCGGGAAAGUUUGGGCAGAAAAGAACAUGGGCUACUUGAACUCUGUUCUUCCGAGUACCAGCGGAGCUCAGGCUGAUGGCUUUAUUGUUAGCGGUGGAGGCCUCAGUCACAACGGGAAGUUCAGCUAUGGAUAUGCAAGCUCUCCAGGGAAAAGAUCGUCAAUGGAGGACUUUUAUGAAACCAGAAUUGAUGGUGUUGAUGGAGAGACUGUUGGUUUAUUCGGAGUUUUUGAUGGUCAUGGUGGAGCUCGAGCAGCUGAGUAUGUUAAACAGCACCUCUUCAGCAAUUUGAUCAAUCACCCCAAGUUCAUUAGUGAUACAAAGUCAGCAAUAGCUGAUGCAUACAACCAUACAGACUCAGAGUUUUUGAAAUCUGAGAAAAAUCAGAAUCGUGAUGCUGGGUCAACUGCUUCAACUGCUAUUCUUGUUGGUGAUCGCUUGCUAGUUGCGAAUGUGGGUGACUCCAGGGCUGUUAUUUGUCGGGGAGGAAAUGCUAUAGCCGUUUCACGGGAUCACAAACCUGACCAGACAGAUGAACGACAACGAAUUGAGGAUGCUGGGGGAUUCGUGAUGUGGGCUGGAACAUGGCGGGUUGGUGGUGUUCUCGCUGUUUCACGUGCAUUUGGUGAUAGACUUUUAAAACAGUUUGUUGUUGCUGAUCCAGAAAUUCAGGAAGAGGUGGUUGAUGGUUCUCUAGAAUUCCUCAUCCUUGCAAGUGAUGGACUAUGGGAUGUUGUCUCAAAUGAGGAGGCUGUUGGGAUUAUUAAACCCAUUGAAGACCCGGAACAGGCAGCAAGGAUACUGAUGCAGGAAGCUUAUCAAAGAGGAAGUGCAGACAAUAUUACAUGCGUUGUAGUGCGAUUCCUAGCCAGCCAGAUUAACAAUACGCAGGAAGGAAAGCAAUAGAAAGGUCACUAUUGGCUUUCGUCUGUAGAUCCCUAAUGCCUGCAACUAAUGUGAGGUUGGAGUGGAGUUGCAUCACUGCUCAAACAACCUGCAGAGAAUCUAGUCUUAAGGUAAAUGCUAUGUCAGAAAGUGGGUGAAGUUCAAGGUGAACUCCUGUUAAUGGGUGAAGUUCCAGUUAAAGGGCACGGUACCCUAAUUUUUCCGACAGAUUGUUCGUCCUUUCUCAUGCUGUCAAAACCAGAAUAGAUGUUGGACCAAAUUAAGUCCAUUUUGAUCCGGCGGGGUUUAACUGGCAUGGCUAUGAUAUUGGUUGGGUGAUAUAUACCUAAUGAGUAUAUUGUCCAUGUAAAUCCAAAAGACUUUCAUGACAGAAAAAUUCUUAACUAACUCAGAAAGUGGUGUGUAUUGUCAUUGCUUCCUUUUGAAUUGGCAUCAUAAAGUGUGCUAUUAAAUGCAGCAAAGUGAUUGGUGCAAGGCACCUGAGUGA